rnacentral:rRNA from 1 species
GCAGUAGCCACGGGAAUACGGAGGGGGCUAGCGUUGUUCGGAAUUACUGGGCGUAAAGCGCACGUAGGCGGCUUUGUAAGUUAGAGGUGAAAGCCUGGAGCUCAACUCCAGAAUUGCCUUUAAGACUGCAUCGCUUGAAUCGCGGAGAGGUGAGUGGAAUUCCGAGUGUAGAGGUGAAAUUCGUAGAUAUUCGGAAGAACACCAGUGGCGAAGGCGGCUCACUGGACGCGUAUUGACGCUGAGGUGCGAAAGCGUGGGGAGCAAACAGGAUUAGAUACCCCUGUAGUCCCUGUCUCUUAUAC